rnacentral:rRNA from 1 species
GACAGAGGGUGCAAACGUUGCUCGGAAUCACUGGGCGUAAAGGCGUGUAGGCGGGAAGGAAAGUCAGAUGUGAAAUCCCUGGGCUCAACCCAGGAACUGCAUUUGAAACUCCCUUUCUUGAGUGUCGGAGAGGAAAGUGGAAUUCCUGGUGUAGAGGUGAAAUUCGUAGAUAUCAGGAGGAACACCGGUGGCGAAGGCGGCUUUCUGGACGACAACUGACGCUGGAGACGCGAAAGCCGUGGGAGCAAACAGG